UGGGACCUUAGCUCAGCGGGAGAGCAAUAGACUGAAGAUCUAUGUGUCCUGGGUUCGAUUCCCAGAGGUCCCAUC
rnacentral:tRNA from 1 species